rnacentral:rRNA from 1 species
GAUGAACGCUGGCGGCGUGCCUAAUACAUGCAAGUCGAGCGAACGGACGAGAAGCUUGCUUCUCUGAUGUUAGCGGCGGACGGGUGAGUAACACGUGGAUAACCUACCUAUAAGACUGGGAUAACUUCGGGAAACCGGAGCUAAUACCGGAUAAUAUUUUGAACCGCAUGGUUCAAAAGUGAAAGACGGUCUUGCUGUCACUUAUAGAUGGAUCCGCGCUGCAUUAGCUAGUUGGUAAGGUAACGGCUUACCAAGGCAACGAUGCAUAGCCGACCUGAGAGGGUGAUCGGCCACACUGGAACUGAGACACGGUCCAGACUCCUACGGGAGGCAGCAGUAGGGAAUCUUCCGCAAUGGGCGAAAGCCUGACGGAGCAACGCCGCGUGAGUGAUGAAGGUCUUCGGAUCGUAAAACUCUGUUAUUAGGGAAGAACAUAUGUGUAAGUAACUGUGCACAUCUUGACGGUACCUAAUCAGAAAGCCACGGCUAACUACGUGCCAGCAGCCGCGGUAAUACGUAGGUGGCAAGCGUUAUCCGGAAUUAUUGGGCGUAAAGCGCGCGUAGGCGGUUUUUUAAGUCUGAUGUGAAAGCCCACGGCUCAACCGUGGAGGGUCAUUGGAAACUGGAAAACUUGAGUGCAGAAGAGGAAAGUGGAAUUCCAUGUGUAGCGGUGAAAUGCGCAGAGAUAUGGAGGAACACCAGUGGCGAAGGCGACUUUCUGGUCUGUAACUGACGCUGAUGUGCGAAAGCGUGGGGAUCAAACAGGAUUAGAUACCCUGGUAGUCCACGCCGUAAACGAUGAGUGCUAAGUGUUAGGGGGUUUCCGCCCCUUAGUGCUGCAGCUAACGCAUUAAGCACUCCGCCUGGGGAGUACGACCGCAAGGUUGAAACUCAAAGGAAUUGACGGGGACCCGCACAAGCGGUGGAGCAUGUGGUUUAAUUCGAAGCAACGCGAAGAACCUUACCAAAUCUUGACAUCCUUUGACAACUCUAGAGAUAGAGCCUUCCCCUUCGGGGGACAAAGUGACAGGUGGUGCAUGGUUGUCGUCAGCUCGUGUCGUGAGAUGUUGGGUUAAGUCCCGCAACGAGCGCAACCCUUAAGCUUAGUUGCCAUCAUUAAGUUGGGCACUCUAAGUUGACUGCCGGUGACAAACCGGAGGAAGGUGGGGAUGACGUCAAAUCAUCAUGCCCCUUAUGAUUUGGGCUACACACGUGCUACAAUGGACAAUACAAAGGGCAGCGAAACCGCGAGGUCAAGCAAAUCCCAUAAAGUUGUUCUCAGUUCGGAUUGUAGUCUGCAACUCGACUACAUGAAGCUGGAAUCGCUAGUAAUCGUAGAUCAGCAUGCUACGGUGAAUACGAUCGGGGGUCU